rnacentral:rRNA from 1 species
UACGUAGGGAGCAAGCGUUGUCCGGAAUCAUUGGGCGUAAAGCGCACGUAGGCGGCCCUGUAAGUCCGCUGUGAAAGUCAAAGGCUCAACCUUUGAAAGCCGGUGGAUACUGCAGGGCUAGAGUCCGGAAGAGGCGAGUGGAAUUCCUGGUGUAGCGGUGGAAUGCGCAGAUAUCGGGAGGAACACCAAUUGCGAAGGCAGCUCGCUGGGACGUCACUGACGCUGAGACGCGAAAGCGUGGGGAGCAAACAGG